rnacentral:lncRNA from 1 species
ACUGCAUCAACCAUGCACUGGACCAUGUCAUCUGGAGAUGCGAGAUCGCCCGAUCCAUGUUUGACCAAGCCUCAGAUUCUCAUGCCUAUCUACCAACUUUCCCUCAGCCUAUAUUCGACGACCACAUUGUCGAAGUGUUCCAUGCUUAGAGAUCUUGUCUUAGGCGGCAUGGAGAUCUUUCUGGAGCUGUGCCACAUGAUCAGCGAAAUGUCUUCUUGCCUCUUUUACAGCAGCCUCUAACGAUUCCAGUUUUGAGAUCCUGUCUCGAGACCAGUGA